CGCACGGGUGAGUAACACGUAUCCAACCUGCCGUCUACUCUUGGGCAGCCUUCUGAAAGGAAGAUUAAUACAAGAUGGCAUCAUGAGUUCACAUGUUCACAUGAUUAAAGGUAUUCCGGUAGACGAUGGGGAUGCGUUCCAUUAGAUAGUAGGCGGGGUAACGGCCCACCUAGUCUUCGAUGGAUAGGGGUUCUGAGAGGAAGGUCCCCCACAUUGGAACUGAGACACGGUCCAA
rnacentral:rRNA from 1 species